rnacentral:rRNA from 1 species
UACGUAGGGGGCAAGCGUUGUCCGGAUUUAUUGGGCGUAAAGAGCGUGUAGGCGGCCUGAAAGGUCAGCUGUGAAAACUCGAGGCUCAACCUCGAGACGUCGGUUGAAACCAUCUGGCUAGAGUCCGGAAGAGGAGUGUGGAAUUCCCGGUGUAGCAGUGAAAUGCGUAGAGAUCGGGAGGAACACCAGUGGCGAAGGCGGCCUUCUGGACCAAUACUGACGCUCAUGCACGAAAGCGUGGGGAGCAAACAGG